rnacentral:rRNA from 1 species
UUGAGUAAGUGUACAGGUUCGUGUACCACGAGGAUCAUU